GAGGGAGGAGUGUGUUUCCUGGCGGAGCGAUAUUUGUUUACAGGAUGAGAUCUAUACUGUAAGUAAAGUAGGACCGAGCAAAGGCAGUUCUGUAAUAAAUUAGUUUAAAUUGCAUCAUCGACGCCCCCCCAAAAGGGAAAACUUGUGCCCAGUCCGGCCAGGUCUGUGCUCCCGGAUCCUGCAUGCACUUGUUGCAGAUUUACACCAGGUGAAAGAGACAUUAACCCUUAGCUAUCUGUUUAUGACUGAUGUGUCCUGGAUGGAAGCUGGAGGCAUGUAGGUAAG
rnacentral:lncRNA from 1 species